UCUAACCCUUAAAUUAUGUUGUAUCAAAGAUCGCAACAAGAUCUGACGAUUAAAACCAAAUAAUUUAACUGAUCUGUCGUGUCAGCCAUGAGGUAAUGUUUUGAAUUUUUUUUUUUCCAAACUACAUUAUUUUUACUAUUCAACGAAAAUGAGAUGAUAAACAACCUAAAUAAUAGUUAUUUGUGUAUACAGUUACUAAAAAAUAGUAAUUAAAACCCUAUGUUUCCAACACGAAAUUAUAUGGAGGGCCCCAAGUGAAAUCCUCUAUAUUAUCCAUAUAAAAAUCGAAGGGAGAUAAUUUGAAUUGUCUCCACUUGAUUAAAGUUAUACAUGCACAUGUGAAACUUCAGUAUGGGUAGUAAAAAGAAAUCUUCGAGAAUAUUUGGAAAAUCUGUAGGCAUUUAUAAGCGGUUACGCAGUGAUAGAUAUACAGGAAGACCAAAAUACAAGAUUGUUAAGCGUAUCACAUCUUCAAAGUCUAGAAAUAUUUCUUUAUGUGUCAAGAGAAUUAAGAAAACUGUUUCAAAGAAGACAAUUGAUAAGAAGCCUGUUUUUAUAUAACAUACACUCUUUGAUGACACUGGUUGUACUGUUAGGCCACCUAUUAAACUUAAAAUUAGAAAGGUGUUGGACACAAGUGAAAAUGGAUAUCGUAUUGUUAAUCUAGAAUGCUUGCAAUCACAUGUAACUUCCAUCACAAUGCAUGCAUGUCAGUGUUUGAAGGCCAUACAAUUAGCUUCAAUUGGUGAAUCUCCAUUGAGUUUGCAGACUGAAAUUAGAUCUCUAGGUUUAGCAAGUGUUUUAUCUGUGCAGUGUAAGGGUUGCAAUAAGAAAUUUAAUUUUGAAACAAGUCCUAAACUACCAGAAAGCAGGAGAUAUGAUGUCAAUGUUAGAGCUGUUUGGGGGAGUAUUGCCACUGGAAAUGGUCCUUCCCAUUUGAAUGAAAUUUUGAGUACACUUAAUUCACCUGGUAUUUCACAACCAACAUUUUCAGCCAUUGAACAUGAUAUAGGAAAGUGGUGGAGUAGUAUUCUUGACCAGAGUAUGUUAGAAGCUGGUCAAGAAGAGCGCCAAAUAGCUAUUGAGAAAGGUGAUUUUCACAAUGAGAUACCAUCAAUUACUGUGAUUAUGGAUGGAGGAUGGUCCAAGAGAACUCACAAACACAGUUAUAAUGCGCUUGGGGGUGUGGCUAUCAUAAUAGGGAAAGAGACAAAAAAAACUAUUGCAUAUUGGUGUGCGUAACAGGUAUUGUUAUAUCUGCAAUUCAGCUGAAAGUAGACAAGAAUCUGUUAAGCCACAUUCUUGCUUUAAAAACUGGAAUCAUGAUAGCCAGUCGAUGGAAUCAGACAUUAUUAUUGAGGGAUUUAAACAGGCUGAAAGCAAACAUGGUUUGCGUUAUAUGAGGGUUAUUGGAGAUGGAGAUUCCUCUGUUUUUUCAAACAUCCGUGAGCAAGUUCCAGUAUGGGGUAGAUAUGUCACCAAAGAAGAAUGUGCAAAUCACAUUUGCAAGUGUUAUAGGUCUAAUCUGGAGAAACUGGUUGCAGAUAACCCUAUUUACAAGGGAAGACAUAAUUUGACAAAGAAUGUUAGAAUAAGGUUAGUUAGUGCUGUAAGAUGCGCAAUCAGAAUGAGAGCAAAGGAGGUGAAAGAAAAGGGUGUAGAAAAAACUGAAGCAGUAAGAAAUCUUCGUCAUGAUAUAAUAAAUUCAGUCCACCAUGUGUUUGGAAAACACAGUAAUUGUUCAGAUUUUUGCAAAGCAAAGUUAUCAUCCAGCACAACCUUAAAUGACAGUAUACUGACUUCUCUGCAAGAUCCAGAUGAAAGUUCAGAUAUAUUUGAAGACCAAGUAAAACUGUGGACAGAGGGAACAUCCAUUGAGGCACAAGAGGAGACACGUAAAGGUACUCACAUAAAUUACAGUGAUGUUGAACAGUACAUUAUCCAAGAUGUCUGCACUUUGUUGUCUCGAAAUUAGUGAAAAGGCUGAUCGAUUGUUGGGUAACAACACAACCAAUCUGGCAGAAUCUUGGAUGCACAUACGGUGUAAAUUUGACGGCGGAAAGUUAUAUAACUUAUGCAAUAGAGGUUCAUGGCAUGGGAGGUGCUUUGGUGGAGGAUUGCGAAUGAACUUUGGACCAGAGUGGUCUCCUAAAGUAUGGCAAAAAACAACAGCUACCCAACCAGGAUUUUUUUUCACACGACAUUUUGAGCGUAGUAAUAUAAGGCUAGCCAACAGCACUAGAUAUAAGGCUAAAUACGAUACACACCAAAAGCGUUGGAAGAGAAAGAUGAGAUCAUUAACGAUUAGUUGUUCCAAAAAGGCUAGAAGAUCUUAUGGACCAGAGGCUAUUGAUGUAACAGAGGAUAUUCCUGUUACAGAUCUAGCUGUACUGCAAAGUGACUUUCUUAAAAAACACAUUAAUAUUUCUGAAAUUAAAAUCAAAGAAAUAGCAACUGCAACAAUUAAACAAUCUCAAUCUGAUAACUGGCAUUCUGAAAGGAAAAAACGCAUAACAUGUUCAAAUUUUGGAAAAAUCAUUCGAAGAAGACCAUCUAUAUUGGUAAAGAAUUUAGUUAAAAACUUGUUGUACUCAAAGUUUCGAGGAACAUUUCACACAAAAAAUGGACUUCUGCACGAACGUAGUACUAUCGAGGAAUAUAGACUGAAGAAAGCAGAAGAAAAUGUUAUUUUAACGGUAGAAUCAAGUGGUCUAAUUAUCAAUAAUGAACAUAAGUUUCUUGCUGGUAGCCCUGAUGGCAUUGUUAUUGUUGGUAAUGGCGAAAAGGGAUUAUUGGAAGUGAAAAAUCUUGUCCACUCAAAACCUAUAAAUUUAUUUCAAGCUGCGGCAAAUAAAAACUUUUGUUUAGAGAUACGCCAAGAUAAAUUAUUUCUGAAACAAAAUCAUGACUAUUAUUAUCAGUGUCAAGGAUUGUUAAAUGUUGGAAAUUUUCACUGGCUAGACUUUCAUGACUUUGUUGUACGCACAAUAAAUCCCUAUCAGUUAUUUAUUCAGAGAAUCCAACGUGACCUCAAUUUAUGGAACAAUGUUAUGUUACCAAAAUUAACCGCCUUCUACCAUUCUGCUAUUCUACCAGAACUUGCUUGUCCUAGAGAAGGGAAGAGCCCUGGCAUUAGAGAACCGGGAGUUUGGUUCGUAUCAUCUGUAUCUAAAGCUAAACAGCAGUCGUCUAGAAAAACCAGCAAAAGAGCCAGCAAAAAGACAUGUGUAAAUAACUAAAUUGAUUCUCAUUACAAAAGUUUACAGUUAAAAUUAAAGGUAAUACCCUACUUUAUACCUUGUGCCUCAAAUGAGUUGUUAAGAGUAAAUGGUUGACAUAUUUAUUAGCAAUUGAGGCUAAUUGUUGCUGCUAAGUGAUGUUUUGGUGUAUUAUUGGUGUUUACAGUAUUAGUUAUAGAAUAUAAAGAAUUUGUCUACAAAGCAGAGAAUUUUUCAUGCUCAGAAUAGAAAAGAGACAACAACAUUGUGGUUAUUCCAUGUAAAGAUUUACUAUAGAUCAGGAUAUUUUACUAGAAAAAUGAACAGUAAACAUGUCUGAAAGUCUAAGAGACAGCACAUCAAUCUAGAUGAAGAAAAACAGAAAAUUACUGAUAUAAGUUGUGUAAUUCUAAGAUUUGUUGCUUUUAUAAUUACAGCAAAUUUUUGAAUAUUGUGAACACUAAAAACUGUGUAUAUAUUGAGUUUUCUAUUACCUUGUAAACAACCUUAGCUAUAUGAAGUAUUAGUCAUCAACGUGUGCUGUAUAAUGGUUGGUUGAUAUUCAAAGUCACAACUUUUCAAUUCUUAUUUCACUUCAUGGUCCUUUGUACUCAAACAUGUGUAUGAUUGAUUUCAUUUGAUACUGCUCCAUUUGAAUUCAUAAGUAGUACAUGUAUGCCAAGUUUUUUCUAUACUUUGACCAUCAAAAGAAAUGCAACAUUACUUUGACAUUAUACUUAGGGCUAUUCCAGAAAAAAAUGUAUGGGGGAGUUGGAAGACAGUUUUUGUCAGCACCCACCACCCAGACAAUUGUAAUUGAGAAUUAUAGUGCAUUAUAGUGAGAAAAGUUGCUCUGAUACCCAUCACCUAUGUAUUAUAUACAAUGUGCCUUCCACCCCCCCCCCCCCCCCUACUUUUUUUUCUGGAAUAGCCUGUAUGCAUUCUUUUUCAUUGUCCAAAUUUUAAAACCUGCUGACUUUAUAAACUCAAAUAUAAACUUUCAGAAUGGUUCUAGAGAAAGAGAAAGAAAGUAAAGUUAUUGAUUUGAUACUUUUGGGUUUUUUUUAAAUUCAGAGCAUGAUGAAAAUAUAAUACUGAAUUACUGUGAGUUAGAUUGCAUUUUUUCUGCUUUUACUUUAUAUAUUACUUGGAUUGAAUUUUUCUUCUCAUUACAAUCUUGUAUCUGUAUGUCAUUCAUCAUGUAUAUUUUUUCCUUUCUGUUUUGAUAACCAGGAUUCCAAAAAAUAUAUAGGUAUAUUUCUAUAUAGCCUUGCAAACAAAAUUUAAAUCGGUCUGAAAACUGAAAAGUAAUUUGAAAAAAUUAAUUUAUGUUUUGCUCUUACUCAUUGAAGGAAAAGAUAGUAAUGUUUUUUUUUUAGUUCUUCUAUUUAUUCAGGAGAGGAAACUGAAAAAGUAGAGACCAAAACUCAAUGUUCAAUUUUCUAUUUAAGAAAAAAAGAGAGAACCACAGAAUAGAUGUAUUUAAUUAAUCUAUCAUAAUAUUUACCUUAUGGCUAGUCAAUCCCCCCUUUUUUUACUUGUGAUAUAUAUGAUAUAUUUUUACAUCCUGUUAUUGAAUUUAGUGAAAUUUAUUAUAAUAAAUAUUUUUAGCAAUGAAUUUGUUUUAAUUUUAAUGCCAUGCUAUCUGUAUGUUGAAAAUGGUAUGUUUAUGUCCAAUAUCUUUACAGGUGUGGUCCUCCAUACUUUUUAUGAAAGUAGUUCCCACAUGGAAAAAAUGGCUUCUCAUUUUGAAUUUGCCUAUCAUGCUUUAUAGAUUUAUACCUAUUUAAUUAUACAUUAUUUUUAAUAUUAAGCCUUAGCUUGCCCUAGAUAAUGAUUUAAGGAUACUAAUGCUUCAUUUUUAGGGGAAAUAAAGAACUCAGUUAAUGUCCAGAUUUUUUUAAAACAAUGAUGGAUAAAAUUGCAAAGUUCUUACUACACAAUCAUUUUUUGGCUUAAGUUUUAUGAUUAAGUGAUUCACCACUAAAUUCCGCAAAUUUUGAUGUAUAUAAUAUGGGUAUAUAGUUCUUAAAUCAGUCGGAAUUUUGGUUUGAAAAAUAAGUUAAUUUUGACUUUAGCGGAA